CUAUCAAACACCGUAAGGUCCUGUCCCGUUUUUGGCAGGCAUAUUUUGUGAUGCGCUCAGCGUGUCACGACCGGCGCCAAGCCGGCAUUUGACAGUACGGCCGGGUUAUCCCGGC
rfam:Pseudomonas hussainii strain JCM 19513 genome assembly, contig: Ga0104663_107